AAGCUUGUGGGGGGGGAUUCCCCAGGGGGGGGGUGUGCAAUAAAUAACAAUGCCGGGCCUUUGUAGGUCUGGCAAUUGGAAUGAGAACAAUUUAAACCCCUUAUCGAGUAUCAAUUGGAGGGCAAGUCUGGUGCCAGCAGCCGCGGUAAUUCCAGCUCCAAUAGCGUAUAUUAAAGUUGUUGCAGUUAAAAAGCUCGUAGUUGGAUUUGUGGCGGUCGCAUGCGGCCCGGCAUUCGUGUUGGUGUUUGCUCGCGUCGCCAUCCUUGGGUGGAACCUGUGUGGCAUUAGGUUGUCGUGCAGGGGAUGCCCAUCAUUUACUGUGAAAAAAUUAGAGUGUUCAAAGCAGGCUUAUGCCGUUGAAUAUAUUAGCAUGGAAUAAUAAGAUAGGACCUUGGUACUAUUUUGUUGGUUUGCGCACCAAGGUAAUGAUUAAUAGGGACAGUUGGGGGUAUUCGUAUUCCAUUGUCAGAGGUGAAAUUCUUGGAUUUCUGGAAGACGAACUACUGCGAAAGCAUUUACCAAGGAUGUUUUCAUUAAUCAAGAACGAAAGUUAGGGGAUCGAAGAUGAUUAGAUACCAUCGUAGUCUUAACCAUAAACUAUGCCGACAAGGGAUUGGCGGAGUCUCGUUUUGUCUCCGUCAGCACCUUUAAAAAAAAUCCCCAAAAAUUAUAUU
rnacentral:rRNA from 1 species